CCUACGGGGGCUGCAGUGGGGAAUAUUGGACAAUGGGCGAAAGCCUGAUCCAGCCAUGCCGCGUGUGUGAAGAAGGCCUUCGGGUUGUAAAGCACUUUCAGUGGGGAAGAAAGCCUUGGGGCUAAUACCCUCGAGGAAGGACAUCACCCACAGAAGAAGCACCGGCUAACUCCGUGCCAGCAGCCGCGGUAAUACGGAGGGUGCGAGCGUUAAUCGGAAUUACUGGGCGUAAAGCGCGCGUAGGCGGUCUGAUAAGCCGGUUGUGAAAGCCCCGGGCUCAACCUGGGAACGGCAUCCGGAACUGCCAGGCUAGAGUGCAGGAGAGGAAGGUAGAAUUCCCGGUGUAGCGGUGAAAUGCGUAGAGAUCGGGAGGAAUACCAGUGGCGAAGGCGGCCUUCUGGACUGACACUGACGCUGAGGUGCGAAAGCGUGGGUAGCAAACAGGAUUAGAUACCCGGGUAGUC
rnacentral:rRNA from 1 species